rfam:Salmo salar isolate Sally breed double haploid chromosome ssa29, whole genome shotgun sequence.
UGCAUUCACUACUGUAAGUUGCUCUGGAUAAGAGUGUCUGAUAAAUGACUGAAA